rfam:Tribolium castaneum strain Georgia GA2 linkage group LG7, whole genome shotgun sequence.
UCGACGGUUCUUUUCAGAACCACAAAAUUUUCCUAACAAAUAAAA